ACCCCUACCCCCUUCCCCGGUUAGCUAUGUCCCUGCAACUGUCCCUUCCUUGUGGCAGCCACAGCGAUUGGCAGCUCCUUUUGAAGCUGUUCUUGGAACUCCCGGGGUGACUUCACUUCCCUCCCAGGGCAGGGCAGGGUGGAGGAGGGCUCUCUUUUCUUCUGGUUCUCGAUGUUUUGAAGCCCCAGGUGCUGAGGCUCUUAAGGCUAGAGGAGAUGGCCAGGGCAGAGCAGGGCUGCCCAGUAGCUGACUCAUCUGACAUUACCAUAAUUACAGCGAUUUUCAAACUGUGAGUAAUGCCUGGUGUCAGAGAAUGUCAGGGAACGUUUCUGAGCACUCCCAGCCGCUGCUCGAGGCUGAACCAAGCCAAGGGCAGGGAAGUGCCCUGGGACACCACCUGCCUCAGCCAGCAGAUCUAGGAAAAGCUGUGUUUAAAGUCUGUGACAAUUGUCUGGGGAUAGAGACCCACAACUGUAAUCAACACUUGAGAGGCUGAGGCAGGAGAAUUACUCUUUCAGAGUGGCAGUCUGUGGUUGGUAAGCUCUUACUGGAUGAGGAUCUGUAGCGUCCCAGGACUCUAGAAACACACUCUAGAAUCUACUGCGGUGUGAUUCCAAGCCCAUCGCGUUGACGGUGAAGACUAACCAUCUCAGUUCACAGCUAGAAGAUGAGACACCAGCCUCACCAUUCCCUUCAAAGACGCAUCGCCUGUGGCACCCCUCCCCCAUUCAAAGACGCAUCGCCUGUGACACCACCUCUCCCCCAUUCAAAGACGCAUCACUUGUGACACCCCUCCCCCAAACAUCCACCAUUUAUCUAAUGCCAUGCUGGGAAGCAAGCCUUUAUUACACAGGCCUUUAGGGGACCGGAUGGAGUAGCUAUGUAAUAAAAGUUUGUCCGUGCCCUGAGCAUGUGUAUAGCAUUGAG
rnacentral:lncRNA from 1 species